rnacentral:tmRNA from 1 species
GGGGGUGAACGGUCUCGACUUCGAUUGUUGAGCCAGGGGAAGCGGGCCGAGGAAGCCGGGAUGAUCUCGUUAACCACAAAAACCCGCGCAAUCAAUUAGACGCAGAUAAAACUGAGUCUGUUUACGAUCUCGCUGCCUAAGCGAGCGCUGUAAACCGUUGCCCUGAGCUUGCUCUCGCCUCAGGCCCCAACGUCGAUAACGUUGUGAUUAUCGGCAGGGACAUCUAACACAACUGCGUUCGUCGGCUACUUGUGUGCGUGAGAGCCGGGACAGAGAAAGCGAUUAGCACACUACGCCCGUAGAAGCCCUGUUUCAGUGUCGAAGGACCCGGGUUCGAUUCCCGGCACCUCCACCA